rnacentral:rRNA from 1 species
GGUCAGGACGAACGCUGGCGGCGUGCUUAACACAUGCAAGUCGAACGGAGAUUCAGCAAUGGAUCUUAGUGGCGAACGGGUGAGUAACGCGUAGGCAAUCUGCCUUCUAGAUGGGGACAACAUCCCGAAAGGGGUGCUAAUACCGAAUGUUGUAGUUGGUUCGCAUGGACUAGCUACUAAAGGUGGCCUCUGAAUAUGCUACCGCUAGAAGAUGAGCCUGCGUCUGAUUAGCUAGUUGGAGGGGUAACGGCCCACCAAGGCUUCGAUCAGUAGCCGGUCUGAGAGGAUGAACGGCCACACUGGGACUGAGACACGGCCCAGACUCCUACGGGAGGCAGCAGUGGGGAAUCUUCCGCAAUGGACGAAAGUCUGACGGAGCAACGCCGCGUGAAGUGAAGAAGGUUUUCGGAUCGUAAAGCUCUUUCGUCAGGGACGAACGUAUUUCUUGUAAAUAAUGAGAGAUAGUGACGGUACCUGAAUAAGAAGCCACGGCUAACUACGUGCCAGCCGCGGC